CGGAGGUGAUUCGGCAUCAGGGUAAUCUUGUCCAUAACAAAUCUGAGUCCUUAAGCAAACAAGAAUCAAUACGACAUGUAUCAGUAUACAAGGUAUUUUCAAUGCUUUCAUGAUUAAUAUUUCUUUUUCUUUUUUUUUUGGGUUAAGGUUGCUAGCUAGAUUGGAGGACAAGAAAGAAAACUGAAAAUGAAAAGGGCUUUUUGUUUAUAUUAAUUGGGAGAGUGAAAUUUUUGCAGGCGCCGCGCGAGAACGCGGCGAGGCAGAGAAGGGGAGUCUGAGGGAAACCCAUGUAAGAGUGAGAGGAGAAGGUUAUAAGAGGAAGCAGAAAUUCGGAGACUGGGUCAAGCUGUGUUCUCUUCCUCUAGUUUUUGCUGUUUCUUCGGAGGACAGAAAGCGCGCGUUUGUUUCAUUUUUUCUGUUAAAGACACUAUUACGUUUGCAUCCUCUUCUAUUUUUGCCCAACUUCCUCUUCUAAUUUAAGGCAUUUUUAACCAUCAUUUUUUUUCAUACCUGAUUCUCUAAGAAAAAAAAAACUCCAUCACCUUUAGUUUUUAACUUCUUUUUUAUGUCCAUUAUCUUUUUUUUUCUUUCUUUCUUAAAUUGUUCUCGUAUAUAAUACAAUCUUAACCAAUUACAAUUUGUAGGGAACUAAAGCAAGUUGUGAAACUAUGGUUUUUUUUUUUUUUUUUUUGCACUUCUAGCUAUACUCCAACUGAUGUGAUGAUGUCUACAUAUAUGCUGGUUUUCAGGGCUACUGGGUUAUUUUAAUUUUUUUUAAUUUAAAGAAUUAAUUUAUUUUUGUUAUGCCAAAGAAAGAAUCAACUAUACAAUAAUGUAAUAAGGUGUUUGUAUAAACUGUACUGUUAGGAGCGUUAUAAAUUUUAAGAAUUGAAUGUAUGUGUUUGAUAAAAUUUACUAAUUAUUACAAACAUAAAAUCUUCAAAUAUUUUACAGCUAAAAUCGAUUGUUUCUUCAUUGAACUUUCAUUUGUAUAUUAAUUAGAAUAUAAUUAAAUAGCUAAAUUAUAAACGACAUGUCAUACAAAUCUUUCUUUAAAUUUAAAAAAAAAAUGUACAAACUAUCAUCUCUUUAAUGAAUUUAAAAACGACAUGCCAUAUUUAUUAUGCUCUAGAAUAACAUAAUAGGAUUUGUCAUCCAUCAACUAACGAUAUAAAAGACACAUUUACUAUUUUAAAUUACCUUUACGCCAUGUCAUUAAUGUGAUGAAAUUAUAAAUGACAAGUCAUACAUCAAUGGCUAAAGAUUUUUUUCUCCCCUUUUUGGUCUUCCAACUUAACAAAAAAAUUUUGGACCACCAUCAAAAAAACCUUAAUGUCUACAUUUUUAAAUUAUAACCACUGUAAUUAUUAGCACAAAGGUCACGGCAUUUUCAGCACCUUCAUCAUCAAACGGUAGAGCGUUAAUAACUAAUGAGAAAUUCUUACAACUUAAACAGUGUGUGCUCCAAUGGUAGGAGCUUUGUUUUUUACAUUUUAAGUUUAUUCCGUUGCAUAAGCUGUCGUGGAAAAUAACUGCCCUUGGUUCAAUCAUCAACUGCCCUGAAAAGACUUGGAAAUUUUGAAGUUUUAUUGUUCCAACAGUUUUUAGCUGAAGCAACCAUUACUGUUAUCAGUUAAAAUUGCGGAAACUCACAAUUUGAACAAAAUAAUAAUAAUAGUGAUGAUGGUAAAAAUAUCAACAGUACUAGAAGAACUAUAUACUUGUACUCAUGUAAAGACAGAAUUGGAUCGAGUGUAUUGAUAGCUAAUUUUAAAACACUGAUCAGGAGUACAGUUAAAUAUAUUCCAAUAGAUAUUUAUAAUUAAACUAAUAUCAAGAGGACAAAAAAACAAAAGGAAAAAGAGAGAAAUAUACAAUUUAACUUCCUAUCAUCUUUUUGUAAAAGUUUUUUAAAUAGAUGUUCAACACACUUCCUAGGUCAGAAGGGGUCCAUGCCCCUACCAGUCUCCAGUGCCACAAUGUUCAGUGCCCAUGUUUUUCAGUAGCCUAUCAUGAGAAUCUACACGUGAAUUUAUGGAAUUUUUCCAUUCUUUCCCAUACUCAUUUUGUGUUCAAACCCUGUACGUAUGUGACAUGUAUUGAGGGCAUACUUGAAGUCAAGCAACAGAAAUCUCCUCCACACCGCUGAGAUCCUCAACAAACUGUGCUUUUGUUUCCAAAUCAAUGAACUGGUUGGACUUACUAGCUAAGUGCGAUAUGCUAACUCUUCCCUGGCGCUUAAUGUAGUCGGCUACAGCUUUCAUCUCUUCCUGUGAGAUGUAUAUGUAUUUUCCUCUAUCAUCCAUGACACCAGAAAGUCGCCCUAUUCAAAGAGCAAAUUCACAGUUAAAUUCCUUAGCAAGCAUUUUACAGAACAUAGCUCCAUAUCAUAAACCACAAAUAGAAUGAAAGAACCAUUCAAGUUUAUCUAUGACGAGGUAAAAACAUAAUCAAAAUUACCAAGGAUCAGAGACAAAACCUAAACUAAGGUCAACCAGAAGGAAAUACAAUGACAUUCCAUUAAUCAGGAAGGGCUGCUAAUGGUUUCAAGGAUAAGAAACUCUAAAGCAAAAAAUAUAUAUCGACAUAAGACAACUUAGAAAAAUUGAAAGUUGAGAGCUUAAAUACAAAAGUUGCAGCAAUGAGCCAUCAUUUAGAUUUUUUUUUUUUUUGUGGUUUGAGAAGAGCCAUCAUUUAGUUAAAACAACAUAUUCAUUAAAAUAAAUAAAUAAAUAAAAUACAAGAAAUGGAAGAACACAUACCCAUAUUUUCAAGAGAGGUAAUCCGAUUGAUACACUCCUGCAUGGACCAAAAGUUAUAACACAACAUUAGGAAGCAAUAUAUUGUACAAAACUAUGAAACUAUGACAUGAUUAACCACAGUGCAUAAACACUAUUUGACUGAGAGAUGUGUUCAUAGAACAGAUACUACAAAAACAUCAGCUUCUUAAUCUCAUUGAUCAAAAUAACAAAUAAAGAUCUAUAUGCACAUUGGUAGUCAUGAUUUAAGAAUACUCCUUCACUGCAACCAGCUGGGGAGAUAAGAGGGAAAUAUUUUGUUUACGCAGAAAAAAUAUAACAAACAAAAUAAAACAGCUCUACCAGCAAGCAUUUACCUGGGUCCGCAACUUAAAUUCUGCAGCAAGAUCUUCUAAAGGAAUACAUUUGUGUUUCUGCAAGAUCAUAUUAGGAAUAAAAACAAUUAGCACCAAAACCUGUACCCAGAAGCAAGAAGCUUCAGUGCCAAGCAACUGUGACUUACAUAUGCUUGCAAGAUUACUCCUAAAGCAUUACCAAGUACUUCCUAAAAUACUGUUCAUCUCAAACGUUCCAAUUUACCACAAAGCAAAUAAAUUGACAAUUAAAUCUUAUUGGAAUAGCAAUUGCAAUUUCUCCCACUCACUAAGUACAGUCAAAACACUAUUUUUCAAAGGUAAAUCUCCCCGAUGAUAAGUAGAGAGCUGGGUAGUACCUUUAUAUACUCCACGAAGUCAGCCAGCAAGUCCCGAUCUCCAUCUUGCACUUCAUUUUCUGUAGUUCCUUCAGCAUCAAUUGAAAAUUCCCCUUUCCACUUCUCAAACUCAAACGCAGCUGCUUCCUCCUCCCUUGCUUUCUGAGCUUUAGCUUCUUCUUCCUUUUAAGUCAUGGCAAGGAUUUUUAGCCAGAAAAUUACUACAAAAACACAACAGACAUACAAAAUAAAGCACCACCAAAAGAAAAGUGAUCAACUCACCAGUGCACUCUCCCGUGCUUCACGCUCCUCAUCCUUCCUCCUCCGCAUUUCUGCAUAACGGUCUUGUUUUGACUGCCUAGACUCACGAGCAGCUUCAUCCGCCUUCAAAUCAAACAUAUCAAAAAGCAAUGGAAAAGAAAGAAGAAACAGAAACGAUGUGCAUAGACAGACCAAAAUAAGCGGUAAAGAGUUUGCUCUAGUAUCUUUCCUAGUUGAAGAUUCGUAACCUUCUAAUACUCUAUGGAUAUCGAAGAUAUAUGUUUUGAGAAUGACUCUGUUACUAAAAAUGCCCAUUUAAAUGAAACCUUCACUAUUACAUCUAAAGGAAGAAGAAAAGUUUUCUUCAAAAGUUCUAAAUAAUUUUGUUUAGAAUUUCAUUUAACUUUAAAUGACAUUCAUUGAAAGGUGGCCUUACUCAAGACAGAAAAGGGGGAAAAAAAGCAUGAAAAAUAAGAAGAGAUAGAAAAUGUACCUGCCGUGCUGCUUCCUGCUCUUGCCGUCUUUUCUCCUUCUUCUUUGAUGCUUUAGCCUCAUAAUGUCCACCCGCAACACCUUCAUCAUCACUUCCUUCAAUAGUUUCUGUGUUCAGAUGUGUACAACAAUUAGUACAUUCAAUAUAACCAGUUUUCAAGAUUUUUCAGAUUACUCAAAUGUAAUACAUUAUUAUUCCAUCAUGACAAGGCUUAUGAUAGCAUAUGUUCACUAUUCACUCAAAAUUUACAAAGCUAAAAAUCCAAAAACAUCUCAAAUACAGGAUCUCAGAACAAUUCCAAAACAAACCAAAAGGCAAAAAUAUCAUCCACUAUACUUGCUUCCAAAAGCUUUCCAAAUUACCCUAACAGUUAUUAGAAACGCUUCUUUGCAUUUUAAUGUAACCCAUAUUUGGCAGAAACCAAUCCAAAAAUAUAUAUAUACCACAAUAGCUUGAAAACACAAUAGCUUGAAAACACAUGAGCAAGAGAGUGAAAAAAAAUAAUAAUAAUAAUAAUCGUAUAUGCAAAACAGAACACCAAUAACCUUCUACUUCUGCAGCUCCAGCUGAUGAUGUGCUAGCUCCAGCAGCUGGUCUUCGACGCAUCCGACGAGCACCAGUUGCACGUACCAAAUUCUCCCUCUGAUGUACCUGUGGAGCCUGUAAUCGAUACUACACAUUAAGAAACAUAAACCAACUCCAUCGGACAAUGCUCUUAGAACUCAGAACAUAUUCUUGCAAACCAAAACCACAAACAGCAGUAACCAAAACCAUGAACAGCAGUUCAUUAGCUUCAACUUAAAAAAUACAAUAAAAAAUUAAAAUCUGCUUCAAAAUUAAGCAUCAGGACAACAGUUACAAUCAUAACCAGAAAGACACACUUGACUGUCCUCAACAAUGCUUUGAAAAAGCUGUUACUAGAAACAGUCUUUGAAGCUCAAUCUAACAAUUCUAGUUUACAUGCUCGAAUUCGAGUUAAAAUCUUCAAAAAGUUAAUCAAUUAUGUCUUAAUCGUAAAAUUAAAAAGAAAUACAAUCUUACAAACCUCCUGUGGCUGUUCUCGAGAAUCCGAGCGACGUUUCCACAAAUAAAUUGGAAUCAAAGCGAAAAUUAGCAGCAUAGACAGAACCAGAGCAAAAAUUUCCUCCAUCUUUCGAUUUAUUUAGCUGCCACUAAUCACAUUACAGUAACCAAAAGUCAAAUUAUUCAAGUACUCCUCGAAUCAUUAUCCAAUAAGAACGUUAAAUUUUGAAAAUUAGAAUAAUACAAAAUCUAGACUUAUAAGGAACGAUUUUGGAGAAAAAGCAAAGGGUUAGGGUUUGGGUUAAGAGGAAGCAAACCUGGACAGAACGGCGACGUUUUGCUGAUUCUUCAAGGCGCGUGUACGCGUGCAGGAGGUGGUUGUGGUUUUCGUUCCCGGCGUCUUACGGUGAAGGAAAAAGAACGGAGUCCCACUUCUGUCCCCUCUGGCUUUUAUUUUGACCUUUUUUUUUUUAAUUUGGGUAAAUAUAUUUCCUUUUAUAAUUGUUAAAAAAGCGAAUUGCAAUUCAAUAAAUAACUAUAUACACACAGGCAUAGAGGGUGAAUGAACAUAUCAAAGUCGGUAAUAAGUUAUAUAUUAAAAUACAUUAUAUUAAAAUUUAUAUUUUUUCCGUGUUUGCUUUUAACUUCAAAUAUUUUGUGCUACUUUUCGUGCUCAUUAGCUAUUUCUAUACAAACAUCAUUAUACCUGAAACUGACAACCUCAAUAAAUAAAAAGGAGAUAAUUUUUUUCUAAUAAUUUACAAUAAUAAUCCCCUUAGGAUUCUUUUACUAUUUUAAUAUAGUUGUUGGUAAAUAAAAAAAUAAAGAUUUUAAAAAAUAAUAAGAUAAAAUAUAUUAUAUUAAAUUUUUUAUUUUUAAUUUACUUUUAUUUUAAUAAAAUAAUAAAUAUUUAUUAAAACUUUACUUAACGAACUUAAAUAACUUUUACGUACUAAUUCCUGCACUAAAUGAUUACUUUCUUAGGCUAGUAGCCUAAUAGGCACAUUUAUUUACUUGGUUUUGGAUUGUAGGAUUUUUCCUACACAUUAUGAGAUUUUUUCUUUUAAGAAAAAAAAAAUUAGAAGCACAUAUCAGGAUACAUUGAGAUAGGUCCUAAUAUGUAAUUAAGGAUACGAUAACCAACGGUUAUUAGGCACCAAGGUCACGAGUUAUCUUAUUUCUCUCUAUAUUAAAGAUUAAUCUGACACACACACCACCUAUUACAGCAAUAGAGCCCACAUCCUCUUAUUGAUAUGUUGGAACGUUGCAUAUUCCAACUCUCAAAUUAGAGUUUUAACACGACAAAAUAGUUUUCAAAACAUUACGGGAUUUCAGUAAUCUACAUUUAUUUCCCUUGUGACAAGAAAUUCUACCCAGUUUUAGGAGCCUGAUUCGGUAUCUCAGGCAUUAUGCUGGGAAAUUGAACGAGCUAUUGAUCUCGGCUUUUCAACAGCCUAACAUGGACUGAAACUGGGGUUCUUAUAUGUACACCAUUCAAUCACUUAAUUUUCACCAUAAAAGGUCCUUACGUAAUUUCUCAAUUACAGCUUAUUACUCCGAUCAUCACAAGAUCAUAUCGAAGUUAAUACUUGCCCUAGCAACAAAAACAGAGUAAGCUCAGAUCUUCAUCAUUGAUCUUAAUCACAUCAGCACUUUCCCAUUGGCUGAUGCCUCAAGUUAUAAACAUACAAAGCAAAGAAAAGGGAACAGCCCAAGGGCAGUCUUACACAUAACACAGAUAACAAGGACUAGAUACGCAACUGCAAAUUCACCUCCGAAAAACUCACAACGGUUUCUUACAAGAGGAGAAAGAAAUUAAAAUUAAAGGUUCCAUGAUGGACCGGAAACAAACACUUUAUUCACAAAACCUCACAACAUUAUCUCAUUAUUCGCAUCAACCAUCCAUCACAACCACCUAAAUACAACUACUUUUUUGCCAGAGUUUAUUUGCAUGCACACAGCUGAUGAGUGAUGAUGCCUGUUAUUACCAAAUUAAGCAUCAGCAGUCUCAGCAGAAUCAGCUGCAGCUAAGAUCAGCUCAGGGUGAACGCCUCCCACAUAUGUACCGUCUAAUGCAUUCGGCUGGCCCAGUGACUUCAACGCCAAAUGCGCAGCCUUCUGCCCCGAUAUCAUCAUUGCUCCAAAUGUUGGCCCCUGCAUUCAGAUUCUUACGUUUGUUACUUAUUUGUACACAUUAUCAAACAUUAUAUCAAGAAACCGUUUUAAGAUUGAAGAGCAGCAACUUUCUUAAUCUAAGGCUGCUAAGAAACAGAGUCGUAAGCAUAUGUACCAUUCGAGGAGCACCAUCAAUCUCGGCAACUUCCAUGCCGGUAACUAUCAUACCAGGCACAACCUCCCUGGUCAGCCUCACAAUAGCAUCUUCUGCAGAGUUCAUGUCCAGUGCCUUCAUUCCAGGCACUUCCUCAAUCAUUCCGAUACUCUUCAACCUCUUUACUCCAGUGGCCCCAAAAGGCCCAUCAUGGCCACAAGAGCUCACAACCACCUUCGCUUCCAUUACAUUGGGAUCCAUGCAAGACUGUGUAUCGUGAUUCAUUGACACCAACGCCCAGUUGGUCACCACACCACCAACUCUGCCGCCUUUGACUAUCAAGUCCUCGGCUGCCACUGCAUUAAAGAGCUUGACGUUGGGGCGGGCCAGGAGCUUGCUCAUUAUAGUGGAGGUGAACAGCGCUGCAUGCUUGAUCACAACAUAGUUGUCUUGCUCAUCGUAGUCGAUGCCAAGCUCGUCAAGGAAGAUGUGGGCUGGUUUGCGCACAACCUGUUCAAAUUACAGGCAAUUCAAUUAACUCCAAUUUAGACCUAGAUUGUUUUGUACGAAAUCUCGGAUACUCUGUUGUGUGGCAGCAAUUCUAAUGAAGUGAUAAAAUCAAAUCAUAAAGGUUUGAUUUGUAUGAGACAUAAAUAGAAUAUUAAGAGUCCAAAUAUGAUACUAAUGCGUUACAGGUGACCCAAAUUACAAAACUCCUCAUUUAACCAAGAUAUUGUCCCAUUUCACUCAUCUCAAUAUUAAAGUGAAGAAAUAACUCGAUUCCAAAUCGGAAUUUCCAAUAAUUAGAUAAAUAAAAAUAAACUUAAUUAUUUCCUUAAUAAUGACAAGAGGGACCAUCAGACCCACCACCCUCCAGCAAGUCUCUUUUUGACACGAACUGAUGUCCUUAACAGAGCUUUUUGGAGAUAUCUUUAACAGAGCUUUUAGCAUAUAAUUAAUUAUUAUCAUAAGCCAUAUACAGAACUAUAAAGCUUACUUAAAUAAAAUUUUUGGUAGUAGAAUUUUUCUAAGUUUUUAUUAAAAAAAUUUAAUUAUUUGAUUGUUAAUAAAAAUAAUUUUUAUUAAAAAUUAUAACUUUAUUUUAAUAAAUAAAUUUUUUACAAUCAUGUUACGAAAAGAAAUAAAAUAAAAAUCUGCUGUACGGCCAAGGCGGAUGUACGGUACAGCAGUACAAUCAUGUUACGAAAAGAAAUAAAAUAAAAUUAUGGAAUAAAUAAAAAAAUUUAAAUAUAUAACAUUUUUUAAAAAUAUUUUAACCUCCAGAACAAAAACUCAAAAUUUAAAUUUUUACUAAUAAAAAGAAAAAAUUUAAUUAAUCUUAAAAAUAUUAUUUAAAAAAUAAACAAACAACAACUAAAAAAUUUUAAAAAAUUAUGAUAUUAAAUAAAUAUUUAUGAUUAUUUGACAAAACAUACCAAAUAAAAAAAUUAACGUUUAUUGUUAACAACAAGCAUUAUGAUUGAUAACAAAGAAAAAUUGCAAUUUAUUAUACCAUGGCAGAGAAGAGCUGUCCACCGAGCCACGCGCCACCGCCGGGGCUAACAGACUGUUCGAUAAUAGCAAUCUGAAUGUUGGGGUUUUUGCUGAGCUCAUAAGCACAAGAGAGGCCAGCAGAGCCAGCACCAACCACUACCACAUCAGUGUCAGCAUAAGUGAUCAUGUCCGUCAUGUACCUACAGACACAUAAGUGCUUUUAAAUUUAAGUGUUUCUACAAAAUCACUUUUGAACAAAACCUAGCCCUAGUGAUUAGUGUGUGUGCGCUUGCUUGCGUGCUUGUAUAUACCUGCGUGUCAUUUCACGAGAAACAAUGGAUUCUUUGAUGGGGUCAAACUUGAAAGUGUUCAAGUCAUAAGGAGGAGAAGCAGAAGCAGAAAUGGACAAGUUGUUGGGACGAGAAGAUUUGAUGGGUUGAAGACGUAGAAGAGAAGGUGACAUGGGAGCCCCAUGAAAGGAUGAGUCAAAGAGCUUAUUGGUGGUGGACGAAACUGAAGGAGCGAAAGCUGUAGAAGCCAUGGCUGCCAUGGUUUUUUUUUUUUACCCCUCCUUCCCCUGCUGCUUAGAAGUUUGAUAAUGAGAAGUAAUUUGAUUUGCAGCAGUGAUGAUGACUG
rnacentral:lncRNA from 1 species